GUUUGAUCCUGGCUCAGGACGAACGCUGGCGGCGUGCUUAACACAUGCAAGUCGAACGGAAAGGCCCUGCUUUUGUGGGGUGCUCGAGUGGCGAACGGGUGAGUAACACGUGAGUAACCUGCCCUUGACUUUGGGAUAACUUCAGGAAACUGGGGCUAAUACCGGAUAGGAGCUCCUGCUGCAUGGUGGGGGUUGGAAAGUUUCGGCGGUUGGGGAUGGACUCGCGGCUUAUCAGCUUGUUGGUGGGGUAGUGGCUUACCAAGGCUUUGACGGGUAGCCGGCCUGAGAGGGUGACCGGCCACAUUGGGACUGAGAUACGGCCCAGACUCCUACGGGAGGCAGCAGUGGGGAAUAUUGCGCAAUGGGCGAAAGCCUGACGCAGCGACGCCGCGUGGGGGAUGAAGGCCUUCGGGUUGUAAACCCCUUUCGGCAGGGACGAAGCGAAAGUGACGGUACCUGCAGAAGAAGCACCGGCUAACUACGUGCCAGCAGCCGCGGUGAUACGUAGGGUGCGAGCGUUGUCCGGAUUUAUUGGGCGUAAAGGGCUCGUAGGUGGUUGAUCGCGUCGGAAGUGUAAUCUUGGGGCUUAACCCUGAGCGUGCUUUCGAUACGGGUUGACUUGAGGAAGGUAGGGGAGAAUGGAAUUCCUGGUGGAGCGGUGGAAUGCGCAGAUAUCAGGAGGAACACCAGUGGCGAAGGCGGUUCUCUGGGCCUUUCCUGACGCUGAGGAGCGAAAGCGUGGGGAGCGAACAGGCUUAGAUACCCUGGUAGUCCACGCUGUAAACGGUGGGUACUAGGUGUGGGGUCCAUUCCACGGGUUCCGUGCCGUAGCUAACGCUUUAAGUACCCCGCCUGGGGAGUACGGCCGCAAGGCUAAAACUCAAAGGAAUUGACGGGGCCCCGCACAAGCGGCGGAGCAUGCGGAUUAAUUCGAUGCAACGCGUAGAACCUUACCUGGGUUUGACAUGGAUCGGGAGUGCUCAGAGAUGGGUGUGCCUCUUUUGGGGUCGGUUCACAGGUGGUGCAUGGCUGUCGUCAGCUCGUGU
rnacentral:rRNA from 1 species